GGAAGUGAGGCCGAGCGGUUGAAGGCACCGGUCUUGAAAACCGGCGACCCGAAAGGGUUCCAGAGUUCGAAUCUCUGCGCUUCCGCCA
rnacentral:tRNA from 1 species